rnacentral:rRNA from 1 species
AGUGAACGCUGUCGGCGUGCCUAAUACAUGCAAGUCGAACGGAGUGGAGCAAGGGUGAGUAAUAUAUAGCUAAUCUGCCCCUCGCUGGAGGACAACAGUUAGAAAUGACUGCUAAUACUCCAUAGGAAGGGUUGGGACUAUAUCGUAUCAGCUAGUCGGUGGGGUAACGGCCUACCGAGGCUAUGCCGCGUAACUGGUCUGAGAGGAUGAUCAGUCACAUUCGAACAGAGACACGGUCCAAACUCCGGCGGGAGGAAGCAGUAGGGAAUAUCUCUCAAUGGGGGAAACCCUGACGCAGCAACGGCGCGUGGAGGAAUACACUUUUCGGUGCAUAAACUCCUUGUGUUAGGGAAGCGGUACCUAACGAAUAAGCACCGGCUAACUACGUGCCAGCAGCCGCGGUAAUAC